GACACUUGGGAAGUGUUCGACUUGUGAUUUUGUGAUAUGAAAUCCAGCAUAUCUAUCUUGUUUGCUGUGUCAUACUAUGUCGUUAUGUCAAUAAUAAUAAAAUAUAUAUUUUGGGGAGCCAGCUGGCAGGUGGUGUUUGGAAAUAUGAUUCAAAAUCUUCCUUCUCCCUAUGGAAAUUGAUGUCUAGAUGCUUCAGUUGUGUGGUCUUACACAUACGGACCUUCUCCACAUCCUUGGUCCAAUGACACUAGAAGUCAUUGUUGGACUUCAAUUAAAUGCUAAAGCAUAACAUGAUCUAUAAUGUAAUCCAAGUCAACAUAACCCCAACUGUAUCUAGCCAAUAGGGAUACCAAAGCAAACCAGCUCUUUUUAUUGCCAAUGUUGUAUGAUAGUAAUAAAUAAACCUUUGCUAUAUAACUUGGAAAAAGGCAAGGGCUAGUAUGUCUGUUUCGGUAUGCUUUUGCCAGAGUUUAGUUUUAUCUCGAGCUAAGAAAGAGGGUGAUAAAUUUGUAAGGAUACUCAGGAGAAAACCCACUUGAUUGCAAUCUGGCCUUGCUCUUUAAGAAAACACAAUCCAGUUCCCAUCAGGCUGUGGAAGUGAAUAGGGUUUAAAUAACAGCAGCACCUCAUUACAUCUCCACUGACUGCAAGCCUUAAGCCUGAGAAAUGAAUGCUGGAAGAAACGCAUUGGAGAGAGGACUCAAUGGGGUCAAAGUUAUAGCACAAAAAUAACACAGUCCAUAUUACUGCAUUUCAAAACAAUCCACACAGUUGUAUUUAAUGUCAUACAAAAUAUGACAGAAUAUGAGCACCACCCUGUAAGCCUCGGGAAAAUGUGUGGUUAAUGUAGCUCAAACAGACCUAGCUAGAAGAUGAGAACAGAAUCUCUGGGUCAGAGACACAGUAGUACAUCCAAAGCAUCUGGUCAGUAGAUUGCAUGCCCAGACAUGUGCAUGUCAUAAAUACUGUGGUUGCCAUUAAAAAGCAGGCUCUUGCCAACCAUGACACUUUUGAAGAUAACCAUAGUUAAUCCCUUUACAUUGGCCACAUCAUAGUGUGGGAACUGCUGACAACUACUGCUUUAGUGGCAAAUGAUGAUUGUAGCUCUUGGCUGUAGUUUAUCAAAUGAAACAAAAUAAAAAUACAGAAUAUUAUCACUCCUAUUCAGUGAUGUGACAGAAAAAGAAUAACAUCAUAGCAUCAUCUCUAACUCCAAAGAAGCAUUCUCUCCAUUUUUUAAAAAGACUUUAAAAUGUUGCUUUCUGUUAUCAGGAUUUCAAUAGACAGACAGAACUUAAGGGGCAAGAUUAAUAUGUAAUAAAUAGCUAAAAUCUUAUCUGAAAAGCUAUCCUUUGGACAAGAUUUUAAGAUACUUGCUAACAAUGCAGAGAUAUAGCAAGUCUAAAUACUGAACACAGGCAUCUCCAGAAAAAACAGUGUGUUUGCCGGUUUACCCUCAAAAGAAAGCAAAUAAAUGAAAAUGGUCAGCUAAAAGUAGAAUACAGGCUUUCAUACCAGUCUUAUAGUUAUUGCCUAUUAGAUGUAUGUCUUUGAUUGAAAUGAACUCAUUGAGUCUGCAGUAGACACAUUGAAGAAUAUUAAUAUUUGUAAAAAUUCUAAAAAUGGGGCAAUGCAUCACUGUCAAAAUGAGGGGAACAAUAAGAGGACUUCAAGUAACAUAUAUGACUUUCUUUUAAAAAAACAUUUUCUGCGAUUUCAAAACUUUUAAAAUAUCGAAGCCGCUAUAGGCUCUGGAAGGAUCUAGGACUGCACCCCAAACUCUAUCCAAUCUAAACCAUUUAAUAAAUGUAUAAAACAUACUUUUUGUGUGACUCGUAUUGCUUGUAUACUGCUUCAUAGAAUCGUAGAAUCAUAGAAUAGUAGAGUUGGAAGAGACCUCAUGGGCCAUCCAGUCCAACCCCCUGCCAAGAAGCAGGAAAUCGCAUUCAAAGUACCCCCGACAGAUGGCCAUCCAGCCUCUGCUUAAAAGCCUCCAAAGAAGGAGCCUCCACCACAGUCCGGGGGAGAGAGUUCCACUGUCGAACAGCCCUCACAGUGAGGAAGUUCUUCCUGAUGUUCAGAUGGAAUCUUCUUUCCUGUAGUUUGAAGCCAUUGUUCUGCGUCCUAGUCUGCAGGGCAGCAGAAAAC
rnacentral:lncRNA from 1 species